rnacentral:rRNA from 1 species
UACGGAGGGUGCAAGCGUUAUCCGGAUUCACUGGGUUUAAAGGGUGCGUAGGAGGGCAGGUAAGUCAGUGGUGAAAUCUCCGAGCUUAACUUGGAAACUGCCAUUGAUACUAUCUGUCUUGAAUAUUGUGGAGGUGAGCGGAAUAUGUCAUGUAGCGGUGAAAUGCUUAGAUAUGACAUAGAACACCAAUUGCGAAGGCAGCUCACUACACAAUCAUUGACGCUGAGGCACGAAAGCGUGGGGAUCAAACAGG